rnacentral:rRNA from 1 species
CCGAAUGAGGGAACUCACCCGCAAGGGUAUCUUGAAGUGAAUACAUAGCUUCAAGAGGCGAACGCAGCGAACUGAAACAUCUAAGUAGCUGCAGGAAAAGAAAUCAACCGAGAUUCUGAAAGUAGCGGCGAGCGAAAUUGGAAGAGCCUGCAAGUGAUAUUGAAUUCGAUACUGGAACGGUCUGGAAAGUCCGGCUACAGAGGGUGAUAGCCCCGUACGGGAAAUUGGGUUCAAGGUACUGAGCUUGCGAGAAGUAGAGCGGGACACGUGAAAUCCUGCUCGAAGAUGGGGGGACCAUCCUCCAAGGCUAAAUACUCGUAAUCGACCGAUAGCGAACCAGUACUGUGAAGGAAAGGCGAAAAGAACCCCGGGAGGGGAGUGAAAUAGAUCCUGAAACCGCAUACAUACAAACAGUAGGAGCCCGCAAGGGUGACUGCGUACCUUUUGCAUAAUGGGUCAGCGACUUACGUUCAAUGGCAAGCUUAACCGAGUAGGGGAGGCGCAGCGAAAGCGAGUCCGAACAGGGCGAUAUGAGUCGUUGGGCGUAGACCCGAAACCAGAUGAUCUAUCCAUGGCCAGGCUGAAGGUGUGGUAACACACACUGGAGGGCCGAACCGACUAGUGUUGCAAAAUUAGCGGAUGAGCUGUGGAUAGGGGUGAAAGGCCAAACAAAUCUGGAGAUAGCUGGUUCUCCCCGAAAACUAUUGAGGUAGUGCCUCGUGUAUGGCUCCAGGGGGUAGAGCACUGUUAUGGCUAGGGGGACAUGGCGUCUUACCAAACCAUGGCAAACUCCGAAUACUUGGAAGUCUGAGCACGGGAGACAGAGCACCGGGUGCUAACGUCCGGACUCAAAAGGGAAACAACCCAGACCGCCGGCUAAGGUCCCUAAUAUUGACUAAGUGGAAAACGAAGUGGGAAGGCUAAGACAGUCAGGAAGUUGGCUUAGAAGCAGCCAUCCUUCAAAGAAAGCGUAAUAGCUCACUGAUCGAGUCUUCCUGCGCGGAAGAUGUAACGGGGCUAAGUCAAUAACCGAAGCCGCGGAUUCGCAGCAAUGCGAGUGGUAGGGGAGCGUUCUGUAAGCCUGCGAAGGCGGAUCCGCGAGGACCGCUGGAGGUAUCAGAAGUGCGAAUGCUGACAUGAGUAACGUUAAAGCGGGUGAAAAGCCCGCUCGCCGCAAGCCCAAGGUUUCCUGCUCUACGUUCAUCGGAGCAGGGUGAGUCGGCCCCUAAGGUCAGGCUGAGAAGCGUAGCUGAUGGGAAGCUGGUUAAUAUUCCAGCACCGAUUUCAAGUGCGAAGGGGGGACGGAGUCCUGAAGGUCAUCCGGGUGUUGGAUAUCCCGGUUUACGAGCGUAGGAGGUUGACAGGCAAAUCCGUCAACGGAUCUCCAAGGCGAAGGAUCGAGGUUGAGAGAUCAACUGAAGUGACUGAAUGGGCUUCCAGGAAAAGCCUCUAAGCAUCAGCUUGGAAUUGACCGUACCGCAAACCGACACUGGUGGGCGAGCUGAAUAUGCUCAGGCGCUUGAGAGAACUCAGGAGAAGGAACUCGGCAAAUUGACACCGUAACUUCGGGAUAAGGUGUGCCUUUGUAGUGUGAAGAGAGAAACACUCCGAGCAUGAAGAGGCCUCAGAGAAUCGGUGGCUGCAACUGUUUACUAAAAACACAGCACUCUGCAAAGAUGAAAGUCGACGUAUAGGGUGUGAUGCCUGCCCGGUGCUGGAAGAUUAAUUGAUGGGGUGCAAGCUCCUGAUCGAAGUCCCAGUAAACGGCGGCCGUAACUAUAACGGUCCUAAGGUAGCGAAAUUCCUUGUC